rnacentral:tRNA from 1 species
ACCUGGGUGGCUCAGUCGGUUGAGCGUCCGACUUCAGCUCGGGUCAUGAUCUCACGGUCUGUGAGUUCGAGCCUCACGUCGGGCU